AUCCCUCUCCUCUCCUCUCCCCCUCCCCACCCACCACCCGGCCUCAAAAUUGCACCUUUCCCUCCUUCACCCUCUGUUCAAGCCCCUCCCUCUCCAUUUCACCUCCCAAAAUCCUUCUUUUUGGCCAUGCAACGUUCCUUGGUGCGAGACGAGUGCAGGAACUUGGCGAAACGGUUGGAAGAACGUUAAACCGGUCGAUUCCCCCACAAAAGGAAAAAGAUUAGUCGAUGCUCCGGAGGCCAUUAAUGGAGGUCUGUUCGUUGUUGGAUGAGAAGAUCAAACCGAGGCAUCUGAAGAACUGUAUGGAGUCACUGAGUUGCACGAAAUUAUUCGGAGUUCUUCCAUGGAUUAGCACAAAAUUAUUGUUGCAUGAGAGGAUUACAACGGAGGCAUUUGCAGAAACAUGUGGAGCAUCAACUGGCUUCAAUUCUCCCUUUUAGCAUCAUUAUUGUGGCGCAAUCUAACAUCUUCCUUCCAAAUAAGUCAACAUGAAGAUCAAUCACAGUCUUCCUUUUUA